rnacentral:rRNA from 1 species
AGAUUUCUAAACUAGGAUUAGAUACCCUAUUAUUUUAGAGGUAAACAUUGUUAGUAAAUAAAAAUUACGAAAGCAAAAAAUUAUGGCGGUAUUUUAAGCUUUUCAGAGGAAUUUGCUCUUUAAUGGAUAAAACACCUAAAUCUUACUUAAAUUUGUUAAUUCAAUUUGUAUACCACUAUAAAAACAAUUAAUAACUUCAAUUGUUAAAAUUUAUUAAAUUAAGUUAUAUUAAGUCAAGGUGCAGUAAAAAUUUAAGAAUGAAGUGAAUUACAUUUCUUUUUAGAGAGAGAAAUUUAAAUAACAUUUAGGAUUUGAAAGUAAAAUUGAAAUAGAAUGUCAAUUUGAAUUAAGCUCUAAAAUAUGUACAUAUCGCCCGUCACUCUUUAUUAAGAUAAUCG